GGCUUGUGCAGGGGCGCGACGCCCGGGGCACCGGAGCCAGCCGGGGCCACGUCGGGGGGCGGGGGGCGGGGGGGGGGGCGGCUGCCGCUAAGAACGCGGAGCAAGAAGACGGGGCCGGGUCGCGGGCGACUCGGGCGAGCCGCAGUCCUCCGCCGUUGUGGGGGUGACAGUGGCCGACGGCCCGCGGGACCCCCCGCCUGGCACGGCUGCCUCCCCCCACCGACCGCCCGCGAAGGAGGGCCGGCGGGGACGGCGGGGUGGCCGCGCGGGGCCCAGGGGCUGCCGGCCGGGGUCGCCCCGCGCCCGCGCCCGCGCCCGCGCCCGCGCCCGCGCCUCGGCUGAGCCAGGGGCCGGGCGCUUCUGGAGAGGGGGGCGCACCCCGCCUGCCGAGGCGAGGACCCCGGAGGGGAGGCCCGAGGCCGCCCCGCUUCGCUGCUUCGCCCUAACCGCGUUGUCCCCGCGCCCAGGCUGCUGCGGGUGGGGGUGGGGGGGGAAAGGCGCGCUCUGCGACCCUAAGGCCCCUGCGUCGUGUGCGACCCUGGCCGCCGACAACCACUGAAGUAGGGAGGAGACAGAUGGCAGAAGAGGAGAGUCGCCGAGCCCGGAAGGAAGGAAGCCGAGCCCGGAAGGAAGCCUCGGAAAGGAAGGACACGCAGCCCCGCGCGGGGGGCCUCAUCUCUGCGACGCGACCGGUGGCCGUGGCCCACUCCCACGACCCUGCCCUCCGCCAGCCCCUCGUCAGGCUGCACCUCCGCCUGGUGCGGCCCCCUAGACCGCCAUCCCCGAGGACUCCGAGCUCCCGCUGACCCCGCCGGCCUCGGGCCACCGCCGUCUUCCGCCCACCGGGUCCCCCGGGCAUGGGAGUCCUGGGAGGGGCUGCGGUUACAUCGUCUUCCUUCCCGCCGCCCCCGCCGUGUACCGGCCGUCCCCUCGGUAGUCCGGAAGUCAGACCCCCCCCCCCCACCGGCUCUUCCUCGAACCCGCCGGGUGACUUGGACACGUUGCUUAAUGUCCCCGUGACUCAGCGUCUUUGCUGGAGAAAUGGGAGUAACCCUUGCCACAUGUGUCAUAGGAAACUUCGCGAGCUCACCGGUGCAGGCUGCAGGUGCGGAAGCGGCAGGUGUGACCGGGCCUAAUGGGGAGUGUGGCCUACCUGCUCCCGGCAAUUUACCUGGGCUCAAGGUGACAUGGCUUUGCUCCAAAACCCGGACCCCCCCCCCCCCCCGCCAUCUCUCUCUUCCAUUAGUGCUUGCCAGGACCAGGAGGCAGAGGAGCAGGACAGAAUGGGGUUCCCGCUUCUGCUCUGGGACCCCCACUGCAGUCCCGAACUUCUCGCCUCUGGACUCCUUUUAACGGAAAAACUCUUGAUUACGUCACUGUUCUUCCCUGUUGCUGUUACUUGAAGUAAAAGGCAAUUACCUAAUUGA